ACUAUUUAAUGUUUAUUUGAAUAAUUUAUUGGAUCUAUAUAGUUACUAUUAUCAAUCUGUAAAUAUUUUACUAGUUACUAAAGAAAGUGUAGUCGUUGAUCAAAUCUUGUGAUCCUUUGGUCAGAGCCGACUGCAAUUUGGUUAGGGCUGACUGAGACCUUAAAGUUUUGAAAAAAAAAUCUCAAAAAAAAAAUCAAUUUAAUUAUAAAUAUAUAAAAUGACAUGUAACUUAAAUUAAUUCUUGUAAUGUAGAAAAUAAAUUAUGUUUCCUUCCAGAAAAUCAUAGACGGCUAAUCAACAAUAGACAAACACAUAUGCACACUGUGUGGCAGGUGUCUCUUAUUGGGACAUGUUCGAAAAGCAAACUGGCCUGUUGCAUAGUAUCUAGCUAUUUAGCCACACGCUAAACCAUACAACUAGUGAAAUCCAUCUUCAAGAGGCAGCAGCAGAAGAGAAAUAAAUAUGGAUACGAUGCAGAUAGAAAGAGAAUCAGCAUGCCAUUUCAUAGAACAAGUAAUGAAAGCUUUCUCCAAAUGCCUAGGUCUUGAUCCAUCAUCAGCUGAAAAUAUUCAAUACCGUGUUGUUGAGAAUAAUGGUGAAGUAACAUCAUCCAUAACAUCACGAGCCUUUAAAAGGCCUCCAAAACCUCCUUUGAGCGCAGGACGUGGACCUCAAAUCAAUCUUUCCUCCUCUUAAAAGUUAUACAACAACACUAUAGGUCAACUUCAGUAGCACUGAAUAUGGAGAAUAAAAUCAGAGACUUCAUAUUGUUAGGUGGAGCACGUUCACGGUUUGAGGGUUGAGACAUCAUUUGAGGCUUAUGUAACUGUACUACUGUAUAAAUUGUUAUGUUCUUUAGAACAGACACAGAGGUGUUAAACCUUAUCUAAUGUUUUGAUUUUGUAGUUA